rnacentral:misc_RNA from 1 species
GAUCCUGAAGUUGGAUUAUGGGAAUUGGAUUUGAGAUCCGAGUUUCCAUUUCUCUUCGCACCACACAAAGAAACAAGGGUUACAGUUCCUCAUUCUGAAACUAUGGAAAGAUGCUCAGGAUGUGAGGGCCGAGGAGACAUACCGUGUCCUACUUGUAAUGCCGGCCAAGAACCUGGAACUUACAAGGAAAAUCAGUUGAGCCAAUGUACAUCUUGUUAUGGAAGGGGCUUGAUUGCUCAUAAAGAUGGAUCUGAUACAAUAUGUUCAAAAUGCAAUGGUAAGGGAAUGCUACCAUGCGGAACAUGUGGAUCACGUGGUCUUGUAAAAUGUCAGACAUGCGACGGACAAGGUUCCCUUCUCACACGCAGCAUUGCUCUGGUUAAAUGGACGACUCGUUCGAACCGAAAAGUCUGUGCUACCAGUGGUGCUGCCUCAGUCCCCGAGGAGGUGUUCCACAAAGCG